rnacentral:rRNA from 1 species
GACGAACGCUGGCGGCGUGCCUAAUACAUGCAAGUCGAGCGAACAGGCGAGGAGCUUGCUCCUCUGACGUUAGCGGCGGACGGGUGAGUAACACGUGGAUAACCUACCUAUAAGACUGGGAUAACUUCGGGAAACCGGAUCUAAUACCGGAUAAUAUAUUGAACCGCAUGGUUCAAUAGUGAAAGACGCUUUUUGUUUCACUUAUAGAUGAAUCCGCACCGCAUUAGCUAGUUGGUAAGGUAACGGCUUACCAAGGCAACGAUGCGUAGCCGACCUGAGAGGGUGGACGGCCACACUGGAACUGAGACACGGUCCAGACUCCUACGGGAGGCAGCAGUAGGGAAUCUUCCGCGAUGGGCGAGAGCGUGACGGAGCAACGCCGCGUAAGUGAUGAAGGUCUUCGGAUCGUAAAACUCUGUUAUUAGGGAAGAAGAAAUGUGUAAGUAACUAUGAACGUCUUGACGGUACCUAGUCAGAAAGCCACGGCUAACUACGUG